AUUGAACGCUAGCGGGAUGCCUAACACAUGCAAGUCGAACGGAGCGGCGGACGGGUGAGUAAUGCAUCGGAACGUGCCCCGUAGUGGGGGAUAACUACGCGAAAGCGUAGCUAAUACCGCAUACUAUUGGAGCGGCCUAUAUCGGAUUAGCUAGUUGGUGGGGUAACGGCCGACCAAGGCGACGAUCCGUAGCUGGUUUGAGAGGACGAUCAGCCACACUGGGACUGAGACACGGCCCAGACUCCUACGGGAGGCAGCAGUGGGGAAUGUUGGACAAUGGGGGAAAGCCUGAUCCAGCCAUCCCGCGUGUGGGAAGAUGGCCUUCGGGUUGUAAAGCACUUUUAGUAGGAAGGCGGUACCUGCAGAAUAAGCACCGGCUAACUACGUGCCAGCAGCCGCGGUAAUAC
rnacentral:rRNA from 1 species